rnacentral:rRNA from 1 species
GAUGAACGCUGGCGGCGUGCCUAAUACAUGCAAGUCGAGCGAACAGACGAGGAGCUUGCUCCUCUGACGUUAGCGGCGGACGGGUGAGUAACACGUGGAUAACCUACCUAUAAGACUGGGAUAACUUCGGGAAACCGGAGCUAAUACCGGAUAAUAUACUGAACCGCAUGGUUCAAUAGUGAAAGACGGUUUUGCUGUCUCUUAUAGAUGGAUCCGCGCCGCAUUAGCUAGUUGGUACGGUAACGGCUUACCAAGGCAACGAUGCGUAGCCGACCUGAGAGAGUGAUCGGCCACACUAGAGCUUGAACGCGGUCCAGACUCCUGAGGGAGGCAGCAGUAGGGAACCGUCCGCAGUGGGCGAGAGCCUGACGGAGCAACGCCGCGUGAGUGAUGAAGGUCUUCGGAUCGUAAAACUCUGUUAUGAGGGAAAAACAAAUGUGUACGUAACUAUGCACGUCUUGACGGUACCUAGUCAGAAAGCCACGGCUAACUACGUG